rnacentral:rRNA from 1 species
AGUGAACGCUGGCGGUAGGCCUAACACAUGCAAGUCGAACGGCAGCACAGGAGAGCUUGCUCUCUGGGUGGCGAGUGGCGGACGGGUGAGGAAUACAUCGGAAUCUACUCUGUCGUGGGGGAUAACGUAGGGAAACUUACGCUAAUACCGCAUACGACCUACGGGUGAAAGCAGGGGACCUUCGGGCCUUGCGCGAUUGAAUGAGCCGAUGUCGGAUUAGCUAGUUGGCGGGGUAAAGGCCCACCAAGGCGACGACCCGUAGCUGGUCUGAGAGGAUGAGCAGCCACACUGGAACUGAGACACGGUCCAGACUCCUACGGGAGGCAGCAGUGGGGAAUAUUGGACAAUGGGCGCAAGCCUGAUCCAGCCAUACCGCGUGGGUGAAGAAGGCCUUCGGGUUGUAACGCCCUUUUGUUGGGAAAGAAAUCCAGCUGGCUAAUACCCGGUUGGGAUGACGGUACCCAAAGAAUAAGCACCGGCUAACUUCGUGCCAGCCGCCGCAGUAA